AUGCCGGGGCUCCGCCUGCCUCCAGAUCGCAGCGGGAGGCCGCCGCUCGUCGGCGGCGAGGGCGGCAGCGGGAAGCCGUCGCUCCUCUCCCCCACCAAGUCCGCCGUCUUCAAGUCCACGCGUCGCCUGCCCCAAGAAAGCAGCGGAAGGCAGCCGCCCCGCGGCGGCGAGCGAGGGAGCGGGGGCCUCACCAGGGGCGACGGAGGAGGGACACAAGAGGUCGAAGGCGACGGCGGUGAGCGCGGCAGCGGGGGCCGCCCCAGCAUUCGCAGCGGGGGAGGGAGCCGAGGGCUCCGCGGGCGCGGCGCCUCGAUCGGAGCCGGGGAUGCGGGCGGAGAUGGUGCGCACAGGAGGAGCGACCGGGAACCAGAGGAGGAGGACGGGAGCGCAGGAGCUGGGGGCGCGACGGCGACGGGGAGGCCUCCCGCCCGGGAACAAGCGGGUCCCAGCCACGCGGGCAAGCCCUUCUCCGGAUUCCUCUUCGUCUUGCUGGAUUACUCGGACGCUGGCAUCACCGACGAGGACUUUGCAGCUUAUGAGGAAAAGAUUGAGUCUCUUGGUGGAGCACUUGCUACAGGACUUCACUAUAAAGAGGCCACACACAUAAUUGUCAAGGGUAACAUCCCAGCAGGGGCAAGGAUCUUGUGGGAAUCGGAGUUAAAGCAAGUGAGAUCAAUAGGAUGGGUCGAGAGCUGCUCUAAAGAAGGCAGGCUAUUGGCUACUGAACCAAAAGGAAUUGUUGAAAAACUGAUUUCUCAAGAAAACACAAUGACACCACCAGCUAAGAAGUCCCCUGUAAGGAACUGCAAGUCAACGGGCUCUAAAGUCCUGAAGUGUAGUGCUAGGAACAAGCUAGGAGUUCCAAGGAGGCUGAAUUUUGAUGCUCAUCACAGGCACCUCAGGUGUGCGGUAGAGAUCGAAGACACAGAGAGUUUGUAUGAUUAUUCUUUGAGGUACAAGAUGCACGAGUACUGCAAGCUCCCUGGAUGUAGAGGUGUCUUGAGCUGCGAAGAAGGAGCUGACAUAAUGAUACCGACUACUCUGAAGUUAUCUAAGCUUCGUAGCAGAGUGAUCUUGAUGCGUUCAUUUAACAAAGUUGUCAAGCUCCAUCAUGAACACUUUGCUCUUGCUGGAAACUUUUCCUCGAAGAACUUCCAAAUCUAUCAAGAUGACUCCAUCAAGCUUGAUGGUCUGGCCGAGGGUGCGAUAGUGGAGUACCGUGAAGCUGCCGGGGACCUUGACUAUCGCCAAUUUGUUCAUAUGGUUACUGAGGAGGUGUUUCAUGGUCAGAAGCUACCAUUUGAUCUGACCGAGUGGCUAAGGAUCAUCUCCCAGGGAGUGAACGCGUGUGAUGGCAGCCUGCUCUGCAGUCAUAUUGACCUGAUGGAGCCUUAUCAAGGAUACGGAAACUUUGUCUCAUUGUUUCAGCUGUUCUGGAAAGUCAAAGAUACCGCUGGUGGAGAAGAUCUUCUGAACUCCUUGGGACAUUACAAAGGAUGGAAAUCUGAAGGCCUGCGUUGUUCGUUUCUUCAUGAUACACUGAACUACGAGGACGAUGAUGGCCAUAGAUUUGAAUAUGAAGAUGACAUAAGAGGCCUUCUGAGGUUGUUGAUGAACUCCUUCUGUCACUCGGCAAAAAGCCACUGCAGGCUCGCUAUCUACCUGAUUAUGAAUGAGUUCCGCAGGUUGCUAUCUGAUCUUCAAAGGGCAUUGCACCAGGGUGGCUACCUCAGUCACCUCUCUGUGAAUUACAGCGUCUGA
rnacentral:rRNA from 1 species